CCAGACUCCUACGGGAGGCCGCAGUGGGGAAUAUUGCACAAUGGGCGCAAGCCUGAUGCAGCCAUGCCGCGUGUAUGAAGAAGGCCUUCGGGUUGUAAAGUACUUUCAGUCGGGAGGAAGGUGUCAAGGUUAAUAACCUUGGCAAUUGACGUUACCGACAGAAGAAGCACCGGCUAACUCCGUGCCAGCAGCCGCGGUAAUACGGAGGGUGCAAGCGUUAAUCGGAAUUACUGGGCGUAAAGCGCACGCAGGCGGUCUGUCAAGUCGGAUGUGAAAUCCCCGGGCUCAACCUGGGAACUGCAUUCGAAACUGGCAGGCUGGAGUCUUGUAGAGGGGGGUAGAAUUCCAGGUGUAGCGGUGAAAUGCGUAGAGAUCUGGAGGAAUACCGGUGGCGAAGGCGGCCCCCUGGACAAAGACUGACGCUCAGGUGCGAAAGCGUGGGGAGCAAACAGGAUUAGAUACCCCCGUAUU
rnacentral:rRNA from 1 species